ACCCCUCCACAUUGAAAGGGUGACUCUGUAGGCUCAGACUCAGACCACGCCACACCGGUUGCAGUCAAGAGAUCUUUAUCGGAGGAGUCCGAGGGAGAGCCGAAGCGGAAGAAGAAAGAGAGCGAGGGCGCUGCAGCCUCCGUCUUUUAUGCCUAGGGUCGUUACCUGGGGGUCGCUGGUUGGCUGAGGGGCUGGGUCUAGGCUGAGGCGGGAAGGCGUGACCUCUGAUUGGCUCCUUUUGGCGGGCCUGUGUUGGGGAGGAAGAAGAACCCGGAACCAGCGCCAUUAGGGUGCUCUUGUUACCUAACACACGUGGCUUUUAUUGCAUCCUCUAAGUUUUGAAGCAUUUUGGUUGAGAGAGAAGAAAGAAGAUGAGGAAGCUUUUUUUGAAGACUAAGAAGAAAAAGUAGGAAGGGGUAGGAGAAGGAAAAGGAGAAGAGGAAGAGGAAAAAGAUGCUUAUUUAUCUCAGUCUCAAUUUCAGAAAAAUCCCUGCUUUCAGAGGAGCUUCAAAUUAUAUUUGUCUGUGUGUGAUCCAAGAGCCAAAGGCAGAUGAAAUGAUUCCAGUGGACAUACUGCUCUGAUUAUGCCACUUGAGGUUCAUCGGUAAACAGACCAAGUUUGCAACCCUCAUGGAGCUUACAUACUAAAGCGGGAGACAGACAAUGAAGAUAAACAAGUGUGAAGCAGAAGAAUUGCAAGGUUUUGACUGAAGGGUUUGGCAUGAUCUGGCUGAAGUUAUAAAAGUAAUACUCUGCCUACUAUGUAGAGACUAGAUUACAGAGGAACAAGGAUGGAAACAAGGCCAAUGAGGAUGCUUCUGCAGGAAUCCAGGCAAGAAAAGAUGAUGGUUUAGACCAGAGUGGUGGCAAUGGAAGUGGUGAAAACAGCCAAAUGUUGAAUAUAUUUUGAAGACGAAACCAAAAGAAUUUUCCGAAAAUUGGGUGUAAGCAUUGAGAAAAGGAUAAGGAUAACUGCAAAGAUUUUUUCCAAACUACUGGAAGGAUGGAGUUGCCAUCCACUGAAAUGGGAAGGCUUCUUUGUAUGUCAUUUAAGGAAAUUUGAUAAUUUUCUCAUGAGAGCUCUGUACCUCCUUUGUUAUUUUUAUCUCCUGGGUACUUUGUAUUUUCUGUGAUAUUAGCAUAUUAAACUAUCAAUGUAUAUUUAAUAA